rnacentral:lncRNA from 1 species
UUAGAAUGCAAAUGCGGGCUGCUUUUGUAGCUGUGCGUUUGUCUGGGAGCCGUGCGUUUGUCUGGGGUGAGAUCACAGCAAAAGGGUUUUGUUUGGCUUUUUAAAUUCUUCUGGGGAGAGCAAAAGAAGCUGGAGGAGUGCUGGGCGCAGAAGACCUCCUGGGCGGGGAGGCGGGGCAGGCAUGGGCCCAAUGGGAGCAGCCGUCGGCUUCUGCAGGCCUGGUUUGGAAAGGAACCGGGUCAGAAGGGUGCUGAACAUUAACUCCUUGUGGGCCUGGCGUUUGGGGAGUUGGGGGUUUCCAAGCUGCUCACCCCAGAACAUGCAGUCCACUAAUACUGUAUUUCUUGCUUCCUUUGUGCCACACCCUGGGGACAUUUCCAAAGAGAAAGGUGACGUCCAGCCCUUUCACGUGACUGCAUCUAAGUGUCCUCUGCCAGAAGUGGAUAUUCGGGCACUUCAUCCUCACGACCCUGUGUUGUAGUCCUUGUAACAAAUUCAUGAGGUAACCACUGUUUUACAAAGGAGAAAACUGAGACACAGAGAAGAAACUGACUCAAGAUCACACUGCAAAUCACGCCCUGGGACCCAUGCCCUUUCCUACUCUGCCACAGCGCUGAUAAGUAGUACUUGUUAAGAACAGAGGAAGAAAGAAAGCAUGGAAGCAAGGGAAAAGAAAAGAAGGAAUAGAAAGAGAGAGGAAGGAAGAAAGGAAAAAGGAUGAAAUUGAGGUUCAGGAGGUGAAGUCACUCGUCCAAGUUCACACAGUGCAUAGGAAGCAGAAUGAGAAACUGGAACAAGUUCUGGGAAGUGGAAGCAAGCUCUUCUUGAAUCAUGAGUC